rnacentral:rRNA from 1 species
UACGUAGGUGUCAAGCGUUGUCCGGAUUUAUUGGGCGUAAAGCGCCCGCAGGCGGCUUGCCAAGUUCGAUGUGAAAUCUCCCGGCUCAACUGGGAGGGUGCAUCGAAAACUGGCAGGCUUGAGGCAGGGAGAGGGAUGUGGAAUUCCAGGUGUAGCGGUGAAAUGCGUAGAUAUCAGGAGGAACACCGGUGGCGAAGGCGGGUCUCUGGGCCGAUACUGACGCUGAGGAGCGAAAGCGUGGGGAGCGAACAGG